rnacentral:misc_RNA from 1 species
UCUCUCGCGCGCCGUGUGUUGCCGGGGUACCGUGCGGCCAACAGCGGGUAGGCCGGGUGGCGGGUGUCAGGCACACUCCGCUGACGGUUAGUGAAAGCGGAACAAGCAGCCAUUGCCGACACUCCUUGAGCCGUGUGAUCGGCCUGGCGGCGGACUUAGCGCGGGCCCUCCGGUGGAGAUCGAACUCCAUUUCUCGCCAGGCAACUCCCCGUGUACAUCCACCCACACCUCGCUACAGGUCGCUCACCAGCGAGUGGUGGGCAGCAAGAAGGGACUGACAGACAAGAGGAGAAAUAAGACUUUGCCCCGCAAGUAAUCCCACAGUGACGAUGUCCGUGUCGCCACCGACCUUUCGUGGAGAGCGACUGAGGAGACGGUCACAGAGUCUGUAGACUCGGCCACCACACCGCACACACACCUGUAAACAGUUGAGUUUACUCUCUCACAGCCUGGAGUGCAGGUGACUGCGCGGGGGAAGCAGCGCCCUCAGGAUCACUUGCUGGCCUCCGGGACAACAGGCAAUCAGGGUGAGAGGUCGUCUUACGACACAAGAGCUGACACUUGUCACACUUGUCACAGCAUGAGCCUCGAGUAAGGUGAACCGCUCUUACCUGCUCGGUUGCUAGGUGUUGCUCCCAGACGCGGUGACCAUGACAACAGUGAAAGCCUAUCGUCUGCGUAUCGAGACGGAAGACCCGAUGUACUACGGGCAGAAGAAGCUGAAGAUCACAGGCCGUGACCUCGUGAACCUCAGCAGCUCCGUCUUCCACCUGCUGGAGUUGGAGGUCCUCGACCUCAGUCCCGAGCGGGAGUCGUGCCUGGACUACAAGCUGACGUCACUUCCGCCCGGCAUCGGGCGCCUGGUCAACUUGACCACGCUGAUGCUGGACACCAACGACCUGACGGAGGUGCCGCCGGAGAUGGCGCUGCUGCAGCAGUUGGAGCGCCUGGCCCUCAGCAACAACCACUUGUCCUCCCUGCCACCCGAGUUCAAGAACCUGAAGGAGCUGCGCAGCCUGCACCUGGCCAACAACGACUUCCACGACUUCCCGCCGCAGCUGUGCUGCAUCACCACGCUGCAGUUCCUGGACCUGUCCGACAACCACAUCAAGGCUCUGCCAGAGGAGAUCAGCCAGCUGCAGGAGCUGCAGACGUUGUUGCUGUUCAUCAACGACCUGCCGAAGCUGCCGGAAGCGCUGUGUCAGCUGACGGAGCUGCGGUGUCUGUGGGUGGGCAAGAACCGCCUGCGCGCGCUGCCUCGCCACUUCGGGCAGCUGGUCAACCUGGACUGGGGGCACCGCUACACCUCCUCCGCCCUCGACGACAACCCGCUCAUCCACCCGCCGCUGGAGAUCUGCCGCAUGGGCCCGCAGGCCAUCGACCGUUACAUGACCUCGCUGCACGGCGGCGACACCGCGGACAGACACAAGGACGACAGCAGAAGCAGAACGAACUCCAGGAAAGACGGGAAGGCGGAAAUGAUCCGAGACAACGGAACAUAGACAAAAGCUGAGCCACAAAGAGGCUGGGAAAGGAGGAGGACAGCAGAGGUCGAGGGCUUGGACUCGUGCUGUUUACGAACUAUACCAUGUACAAACUCGUGCUGUUUCCGAAUGAUACACUGUGGACUCGUGCUGUUUACGAAUAAUACCGUGUAAGACUCGUGCUAUUUCCAAAUAAGGAAACCAGGGGCAACAUCUCGCGCCCACCCAACCUGAGAAUGGCGCGGGUGUCGGAGAUUGUGACUGUCAACAGAGCAGUGCGACUGUGAAUAGAAGCGUGAUUGUGAACAGAGGUGUGUGAAUGUGAAAGAAGAGUUUUUCUCUCUCUUGUGGUUGUAACCCUGGGCAGGCGUCACACAGAUACACAAAACUUGAGACUCCAUGGAACUGCUGUCGACUUGACAUCAGCACGUGACACAGACCUCAGCAACAAACUGCUUUCUCAGACAUUUCUUGUAAACAUUAACAAUUUAUUUUAAAAAUGAAAAUUCAAAACCUAAUAGUUUGUUUCUGUUUUA